CAAAUCUUGACAAGUGAGGUCAAUACCACAGAUAUUUUUAUUACUUCUUGGCAUUCACAUCCCAAGCCCAUCUUCCCACUGUCCCAUCGUCUACCAACCCAACAACUCAAACUCUCAGCCGUCUACGCAGGGAAAACUACAACUCCCAAAAUGCUCUACGCCCAGGCGGGCUCCCUUUUAAGAAGCGAUGCAGUUUCAAGCUGCGCGCGUUCCUUUCUCAUUGGUUUUCAAGGUGUCGAAGCCACCGGGGGUCCAUGGCGAUGAUUGGCUGGCAGCUCCUGCUGUUCAAGAUCCCAGAGGAGGCGACGGAGCCUGCGCAGUUCUCUAUGCAAUGCGUCAUCUGUCACAGGGCCGGUGAGGCGCAGGCGUGAGCUGCCCAGGGGCAGGAUGAGCGGAGGGUGCGAGGAAAAACUUUCAAAGAUAUCCCCUAAUUCUGACUCAACGCAUCUAAGAAAUGGAGCAUAGAAAACUCUUUCUAGCAAGUUCGGAGUCAGAAGCAUUCAGCAUCCAUGUUCAGUCACUCUUGACACCGACUUCUGCGGCUGCCAGUGGCCCGUCAUGGUGUCUAAGUCAUCUCACGGGCUGGAGAUGACUCGGGGUCACAGAGAGGCUGAGUACACAGAGCCGGGAUAGAGAUUCAAAAGUCAAAGUCAUACAAAGCCGACCAAGAGUCACCUUGAGCAGGGAGGUGCGGGGCACACAUAGCAGGUUCACAGCAAUGGAAAGUUUCCGGAAGAACUCAGUGGCAAUGUCACCCAGCCCGGCCCCCUGAAGCCAAUCCAACACAAGAUCCAAGUUGGUUCUGAUUUGGACGGCUCGAGACCAUUGAUAGAAAGGUCGGCCUUGACCUGUGUAGGAAGAAAUGAGAGGCGUUGAAUGAAGCUACUUCCCAGGCAAAGCCACCCAACGCUGAAGCCUGAAGCCUGGCUUAUGUCUGCCUGGAUUAGGUCUGGAUAGCUCCUGGCUCCUCCCAACACAACCCUCACCUCGUUCCAUCAGUGAGUUGAGAAGGGAUGCAUUGGAGAAGAAGAACAAAUAGCCAAAAGUCUGGGACACGAGGUCGGGAUGCAGCUCACACUGACUGGUCAGUUCUAGAGCUGCCUGGAACACACCCAGAGUAGGCCUGAGCCCAGGCGGCAUGGCCUCCAGCUCUGCGCCAGGCCCUGGCAGCUCUGCUCCAGCUGUGAAAGGGUUACUGUCCAGGAGAGCUGGCAGUGUUGAAUAAAGAGUCUGGGGGAGGAAACAGGCAACAACCAGAGAGUGACAAUCAAUAAAGACAAUGGGGAAUUCCAUCAAGGGCUUCUGGGAAAUGUAGUCCAUUCUACACCAUUCCCAGGUGGCUCCCUGAUCAAUCCCCCAUUUCCUCGGUGAAUUUCUAGCAGGUAUUAGGCUCCCUGGAAGAAUCUGUCCUGAGAAAUGUUUUUAGUAAAGUUUCUUAGGUAUUCUGAGAGCAUCUCUUGUGCAUUAUGUAAUCUGUAGUUCUCACAGAGAGGUAGCUCACGUAGGACAGGCCUCUGAACAAAAAAAAGGACCUUCUUCUUCGGUCAAGGAAACGUUUGAGCAGAAUUUCCAAAGGAAAUUAAAAGAAUGGAGAGUCCAGAAGUAGGAGUUGGGUGGCAGCCAGCCAAGGGAAAUUCGAGCAAGCCAAGGACAGGAAACGAAGGCGAUGACAGAAAAAACGUCAGGGUCUACUUGUCAAGACCACACAAGAAGUAAACCCUUAGAGGAAAGGGUUUCACAAGCAGGGCCACUCCCGGGUCAUUCACUUGGUAUGUCCCUCUUAUUUUACAGAUAAGAGAAUGCAUUUACCAAAACCAAAACCCAACCUGCAAAUAGGAAGGUCAAAGGUGGUAGAGGGGAAACCAAGCCCCACAAGAAUACUCCAGUGAAAAAAAGAAAAGGACCAAGGAUCAGAAAAGGGAAGUGAAGUCAGAUGCAGGAAGUGGUAUCAGCAAACACACAAAACUCAGCAGUCAACUUCACCAGUGUAAGCUUUAAAAAAAAAAAAAAAAGGUGACUGAUACAGAGGAGAUCAAUUCAGUUGGACAAGACAUAGGAGAGCCAAGACAGAAAAAUGAGCCAGAAAGGAAGUGAUGUCAGCCAAACAGGAAAUAGUGUGAUAAGAGCAAGGUGCUAGGGCGAAAUGGGAAGUGACUCCUAGGAGAAGGAAGUGACGUCAGAGCAGCACAAUGUCAGUUAGGUGGAAAGCGAGAGUAUUUCAGGAGGGAAGCGUCACCUUGGUGAGGUAGUAGACCGACUGCUGGAAAGUACACAUGAUGACCUCAUCCAGGAGGGCCAAGGCCUCAUCACACAGUUCCAAGUCAUUGCAGAGCUGUGGGUCCGAGGACAGGCCUGGGGAUGAGAGGGGGAACACGCUGGCUGCUAGAGCCUAGGUUUCUAGGCUCAGGGUAUGACAGCGGGACAGAGUGGGCCCGGGACCUCAGCUCACCCUCCUGGUCAGCCUCCUUCUCCAUCUCUAGCACUUUCUCCUGUACAAAGCUCAACAGCUCUGUGGUGUUGGCCAUCCAUAGUAUGAGUGGUCGCAGCUCCACAGACACAGCCUCAGGGGUCAGAGGCACCUCGGGAACUCCCUCUGGGUGGCUAAGGGAAGAAGGGGGGGGACCCUCAAUACAAAGACCAGACUUCAAGGUCUGAGUUUUCCCCCACCCAACUCUGUGACUCUCCAGAUCUGUACACCCCAGCUUUCUCUUACUUCUCUGGCUGGCGGUCUCCAAUUUCUUUAAUUUUUUCCUGUAGGACAGUAAGAUAAAAAUCCAUGUGAGAGGCUGGGUGGAGGGGAUCAAGGCUACGCAAAUUAGUUUGCCUAAAUGGACCUUUCUUGAGCACAAGCUGGUAUACGCUCAUACAUGUGUCUCUGUGUGCGCACGCAUGUUGCAGAGCUGGCUCCGUGUUUGCGUAUGUGUGGGUGCACGGGUAUGUGGAAGCCUGGUGUUGAUGCUGGCAUCUUCCUUGGUGACUCUGCUUUACUGAGGUAGAGGUUGUCCCUGUAUUUGAACCUGUUAAUUCCAGCUAGCUAGCUAGCCAGUUGGCUCCAGGGAAGGCUGUCCCGGCUCCCUGGGAGCUGGGAUGACAGGUGGUCGCCAUGUCUUCCUGGCUUUUACCUGGGUUCUCGGGCUUACAAGACAAGCACUUUAUCCCUUAGUCAUCUUCCCAGUUACACACACACACACACACACACACACACACACACACACACAGACACACACACACACACCACACACACAAAACACACAACACACGCACAGACACACACACACACACACACCACAGAAACACACACACACCUUUUUGUUCUUAAGACUUCUAUUAGCAUUGGCUCCCAAUUUUGUGCCCGCCUCCUAGCCUUGUCUCCUCCAGUCACAAAAUUCUGCCACACACAUCCAGCUUCCGACCAUUGACCUUUUAUGGUGGUUUUAUGUUUUUCUGUUUGGUUGAUUUCUGCUGUUGGUUGUUUGUUUGCUUGUUUUAAAACAUAGCUUCUUUCAAAAAAAAUAAAAUAAAAAAUAAUUAAAAACCAUAGCUUCUCUGUGUAGCCCUGGCUGUCCUGAAACCCACUCUGUAGACCAGGCUGGUCUUGAACUCCCAGAGCUCCACCUGCCUCUGCCUCCUGAGUGCUGGGAUUAAAGGCGAUGGGCCACCACCACCUGGUGCCUUUUAGCUGCUUCUUUUGAGACAGUGUCUAACUAAGUUGCCCAGGCACGAGUCUUAACCUUUCUCUGUCUUUUGAGCUUGUAAUCCUCCUGUCUCACCCUCGUUUGUGGGUGGGAUGACAGGUCUGUACCACCAGGCAUAGUCCUCCCAUUCCAACCCUACAGUCCCAAGUAAUAUAUUCACUUCCUUCUCUUCUGCUCAAAUGGAGUUUCUUCUUACUACCAAGAAAGUCUCUGACCCCUCUAGGACCUCACUCAAUGAGACUGUCCCCUCUCUGGAUUAUUUCUUCCAGUCACUUAUAGAGCGUCGACGGAUCCUCCUGGGGGGGGUGGGGGUUGUUCAUUUUACGGUUCCAAGUUCCAUGUCCAAAGAGCUGGCCAACUCAAGCCCCACAAUGGUCCCUCCUAGCUUCUCUAGCUUCCGGCCAGUGGCACCUCCUCCCACAGUCCAGAGUGGUUUUCCUCCAUGAUUCCACAGCUCCAAAGGCAGAGGCAGGGAGAUCUCAAGUUCAAGGUCAGCCUGGGCAACUGAGUGAAACCUUUUAAAACUAAAAAGAGGGCUGGGAUGUGGCUUAGCAGUGCAGUUCCUCUCUAGAAUCCCUGAGUGACAGGCUCGGCUUAGCACUAGAAUCCAUCAGUGAGGGACUUGGAAAGUGUCUCAGCAGUAGAGCACCUGCCUGGCAAACGAAGAGAUCUGGGUUCCAUCCUACGUACUACUAAACAAAUCUAGACAUCUAAAAAUAGUUACUUCUUGAGGCACAGUGGAUGGAUCCACUGUCCCUGAACCCUAUAUGUGUUUUAGCUCAGCCCAUCUCAAAGGAUAAUGGGAAAAAACAGUUUCUUCUUGCCUGAGGCUUGAACAGGGAGCUAGCUGGUUGAGGUAGAAGAGAAACUGUGGAAAACUUAUAGGAGAGGGCAGGAAUAUGGCAGAAAGGACCUGUGACGCAGGUGGGUGGUGGAAAAGAGAGGGGGCAACCGGAAGACUUGUAGGACAAGGGGGUGCUCACCCAAACGGCUUCUUUGAUGAGCCGGGCCAGGCGGCCCAGCAAGCGAGGCAGGUGGCCCAGCUCCAGCUCCCUCGCAGAAUGCUGCACACACAGUGCCAGCAGAGUGGCUGGCCCGAGCGGGGGCAGGUCCCCUGCUCCCGAGGCUGCAGCUCGCACGAUCUCGCCCAACAGCGCCUCUUCCUCUCGUGGUCUGAACCGCAGCACCGGCUCGCGGCCAUCCAGGUAGGCGGCCAGCGCCUCGCCGCGCUCCUGCAGGCCACGGCCACACAAACGACAAGAAAAGGCCCAGCCCGGUCCGGGUGGCGCGGCCCCGGGGCGCGCUGGCAGCCAAGAUGGCCGAGCGGGCCCAGAACCCCCGGAGCGGGGGUCCUUGUACAUGAACAGGAAAUGCUCUCCUAGGCCUAACAGGUCUCCGGGGUGCAGCUCUGCCUCCCGCAGCAAAAGACAGCCAUUGUGUGUGACGGGGGCGCCCCGGGAUGGGCGCACCAUGGCCGGGGGCUCAGGGCCCGCGCGCACCGUGCAAUGUCGAGGCAGGAUGUCUGGGGCGUUGAGGAAGGUGUCCACAUAUGGGGCUGGGGAUCCCCCGCGGGACGAGGAGGGCCCACCCCGGCCGAACACGUGCUGCUCUCGUGUCAUGACAUACACCACGAAGUCCUAGAGUGAAGCAGAAGUUGCUGCUGCGGGAAUGGAUGCGUCCAAACAGCAUCCAUCAUCCACACUAGACUUUCACCCCACAUCGCCUCCAAAUGUUGAUAACCUCCAGGAUAUCUCCUGGGUUCUCAAGGGGCUCUUUGAGCAUCCUUUGCCAAAACAAUUUGUGGUUCCCUCCUAUUGGUGGUGAUGGUUGGGGGGGGGGGGUUAUGGGGAAGGGCAGCACCAUAGGAUUCAUGUAGAGGUCAAAAGGUAACUUGUGAAUCGGUUUUCUCCUUCUACCAUGUGGGCUCUGGGGAUAUAACUCCGGCCCAUUUGCAUGGCCUCUACUGGAGAGAGAGAGAGAGAGAGA
rnacentral:lncRNA from 1 species